rnacentral:snRNA from 1 species
AGAUCACUUGAGCCCAGGAGGUCAAGGUUGCCGUGAGCCCAAAUAGCACUACUGCACUACUCCACUCCAGCCUGGGCGACAGAG